rnacentral:rRNA from 1 species
UACGUAGGGGGCAAGCGUUGUCCGGAUUUAUUGGGCGUAAAGAGCGUGUAGGCGGUUAGGUAGGUCCGUUGUGAAAACUCGAGGCUCAACCUCGAGACGCCGAUGGAAACCAUCUGACUAGAGUCCGGAAGAGGAGAGUGGAAUUCCUGGUGUAGCGGUGAAAUGCGCAGAUAUCAGGAAGGACACCCGUGGCUAAGGCGGCUCUCUAGUACGUGACUGACGCUGAGACGCGAAAGCGUGGGGAGCGAACAGG